AUUGAACGCUGGCGGCAGGCCUAACACAUGCAAGUCGAGCGAGCGGCGGACGGGUGAGUAAUGUAUGGGGCUCUGCCCGAUAGAGGGGGAUACCUACUGGAAACGGUGGCUAAUACCGCAUACUAUCGGAUUGACACAGAUGUGCUUAGCUAGUAGUGGGGGUAAAGGCGCACCUAGGCGACGAGCUCUAGCUGGUCUGCGAGGAUGAUCAGCCACACUGGGACUGAGACACGGCCCAGACGCAUACGGGAGGCAGCAGUGGGGAAUAUUGCACAAUGGGCGCAAGCUGGAUGCAGCCAUGCCGCGUGUAUGAAGAAGGCCUUAGGGUUGUAAAGUACUUUGAGCGGGGAGGCGUUACCCGAAGAAGAAGCAACGGCUAACUCCGUGCCAGCAGCCGCGGUAAUUC
rnacentral:rRNA from 1 species